GACGUAGGGUGCAAGCGUUGUCCGGAAUUAUUGGGCGUAAAGCGCACGUAGGCGGUCUGUUAUGUCGGUUGUGAAAUCCCUCGGCUCAACUGAGGAAGUGCAUCCGAAACUGGCAGGCUAGAGUACGAAAGAGGGUCGCGGAAUUCCCGGUGUAGAGGUGAAAUUCGUAGAUAUCGGGAGGAACACCGGUGGCGAAGGCGGCGACCUGGGUCGAUACUGACGCUGAGGUGCGAAAGCGUGGGGAGCAAACAGG
rnacentral:rRNA from 1 species